ACUACGUUCUGAUCUUCUGGAGGAUCUACUACAUCUCUGAUCUUGCACUUGAAGAAAAUUCAUCAAAUCAACAUAAAUCAAGAUGCAAACCAGCCUCCUUGUACGAGUAAGAAGGGGAUGG